CAUUAAGAAGCUUGUAUAGCAUCAACCUUUUAAGUUGAAGAUGAGACAUCAAUCUCCUUAAUGA
rnacentral:tRNA from 1 species